rnacentral:rRNA from 1 species
GACGAACGCUGGCGGCGUGCUUAACACAUGCAAGUCGAACGGGCCUUGUCCCCUUUUUUUUGGGGGUGGGGUUAGUGGCGAACGGGUGAGUAACACGUGAGUAACCUGCCCCUCACUUCUGGAUAACCGCUUGAAAGGGUGGCUAAUACGGGGUGUUCUGGCCUGCUCGCAUGGGUGGGUUUGGAAAGAUUCGACCGGUUUUGGUUGUUUUGGUGGGGGAUGGGCUCGCGGCCUAUCAGCUUGUUGGGGGGGUGAUGGCCUGCCAAGGCUUUGACGGGUAGCCGGCCUGAGAGGGUGGGCGGGCACACUGGGACUGAGACACGGCCCAGACUCGUACGGGAGGCAGCAGUGGGGAAUAUUGCACAAUGGGCGCAAGCCUGAUGCAGCGACGCCGCGUGAGGGAUGGAGGCCUUCGGGUUGUGAACCUCUUUCGCCAGUGAAGAAGGUCCUGCUCUCUGUGGUGGGGUUGACGGUAGCUGGGUUAAUGAAGCGCCGGCUAACUACGUG